UGAUCGAAUUGGAAUGAUGAAAGGAGAGGACACCGUGUAAUCAAAAUUGCUCGCGCGUCGUCGAGAUUCCCGAAAACCACGAAUUCCGUCGUAGUAAGCAAAAGUCGCCGAGAAACUAUUAGGUUGGGAAACUUCGUAUAAACCGCACGUAAGAAGUUGGAAUAAAUUCUACUGAAACUUAGAGAGAGAGGGA